GAUGAACGCUGGCGGCGUGCCUAAUACAUGCAAGUCGAGCGAACAGACGAGGAGCGUGCUCCUCUGACGUUAGCGGCGGGCGGGUGAGUAACACGUGGAUAACCUACCUAUAAGACUGGGAUAACUUCGGGAAACCGGAUCUAAUACCGGAUCAUAUAUUGAACCGGAUGGUUCAAUAGUUAUACAGGGUUUUGCUGUCACUUAUAGGUGGUUCCGCGUCGCAUUAGCUAGUUGGUAAGGUAACGGCUUACCAAGGCAACGAUGCGUAGCCGACCUGAGAGGGUGAUCGGCCACACUGGAACUGAGACACGGUCCAGACUCCUACGGGAGGCAGCAGUAGGGAAUAUUGCGCAAUGGGCGAAAGCCUGACGGAGCCACGCCGCGUGAGUGAUGAAGGUCUUCGGAUCGUAAAACUCUGUUAUUAGGGAAGAACAAAAGUGUAAGAAACCCUGCACGUCUUGACGGUACCUAAACAGAAAGCACCGGCUAACUACGUG
rnacentral:rRNA from 1 species